rnacentral:rRNA from 1 species
AUGAACGCUGGCGGCGUGCCUAAUACAUGCAAGUCGAGCGAACAGACGAGGAGCUUGCUCCUCUGACGUUAGCGGCGGACGGGUGAGUAACACGUGGAUAACCUACCUAUAAGACUGGGAUAACUUCGGGAAACCGGAGCUAAUACCGGAUAAUAUAUUGAACCGCAUGGUUCAAUAGUGAAAGACGGUUUUGCUGUCACUUAUAGAUGGAUCCGCGCCGCAUUAGCUAGUUGGUAAGGUAACGGCUUACCAAGGCAACGAUGCGUAGCCGACCUGAGAGGGUGAUCGGCCACACUGGAACUGAGACACGGUCCAGACUCCUACGGGAGGCAGCAGUAGGGAAUCUUCCGCCAUGGGCGAAAGCCUGACGGAGCAACGCCGCGUGAGUGAUGAAGGUCUUCGGAUCGUAAAACUCUGUUAUUAGGGAAGAACAAAUGUGUAAGUAACUAUGCACGUCUUGACGGUACCUAAGCAGAAAGCCACGGCUAACUACGUG